CUGCCCUAUGAGGAUUUAAAUGGCCGCGGUAUUUUGACCGUGCAAAGGUAGCAUAAUCAUUAGUUUUUUAAUUGAAAGCUGGAAUGAAAGGUUGGAUGAGAAAAUAGCUGUCUCUGUUUAAAUUAUUUAGAAUUUUAUUUUUAAGUUAAAAAGCUUAAAUUUAAAUUGAAGACGAGAAGACCCUAUAGAGUUUUAUAUAUUGAAAUUAAGAAAUUUUUUAGGAUUAAGAGAUUUUUUUGUAUAAAAUAUAUUUAGUUGGGGUGAUUAAAAAAUUGGAUAAACUUUUUUUUUAUAGUAACAUUAAUUUAUGAAUAAUUGAUCCUUAAUUAAAGAUUAAAAGAAAAAAUUACCUUAGGGAUAACAGCGUAAUUUUUUUAAAGAGUUCAAAUCGAAAAAAAAGAUUGCGACCUCGAUGUUGGAUUAAAAUAAAAUUUUGGUGUAGGGGCUAAAGUAUUUGGGUCUGUUCGACCCUUAAAAUUUUACAUGAUCUGAGUUUAAACCGGUGU
rnacentral:rRNA from 1 species